UACGUAGGGUGCGAGCGUUGUCCGGAAUUAUUGGGCGUAAAGGGCUCGUAGGCGGUUUGUCACGUCGGGAGUGAAAACUCGGGGCUCAACCCCGAGCCUGCUUCCGAUACGGGCAGACUAGAGGUAUGCAGGGGAGAAUGGAAUUCCUGGUGUAGCGGUGAAAUGCGCAGAUAUCAGGAGGAACACCGAUGGCGAAGGCAGAUCUCUGGGCCGUAACUGACGCUGAGGAGCGAAAGCAUGGGGAGCGAACAGG
rnacentral:rRNA from 1 species